rnacentral:siRNA from 1 species
UGUGUUGCUGGCACUGUUAGCGU